rnacentral:misc_RNA from 1 species
CGAGGAAAUGUCAUAAAUUGUUUGUUUUAACUCCUCCUUAGCCGGAAAAAAGAACGAAACGUCAAAAAAAUACAAAAUCACAAAACCAAAUUAUAUAUAUUCAUUGGCAAAAGGAAAAAUUUCUAAGGCAGCACAUUUAAGAAAAGUUAAACCAGGGACUUGAGGUGCCUCAUAAUAGAAACUGGGAUGAUUGGAAUGAAUUACGAUCCCAAUACAUUAUCAACUGCAUGGGGAUCAGAGAAAGCGUUUUUCCCCCCGUUUUCAUCACAUCACCUCUUUGCCUAACAAAAACACGUGAUCUGAGAUAUGGAAUUGAAAUUGCAGUGGAAUCCUAAAGACCUUAUUUAGCGAUGCUUAAAAUCUUCGUUUCAAAAGGGUAAUGAAUCCCAUUAUCAGCCGCCAUGAUUUCG